UAAGGAAUAUUGGUCAAUGGACGCAAGUCUGGACCAGCCAUGCCGCGUGAAGGAUGAAGGUCCUCUGGAUUGUAAACUUCUUUUAUCUGGGACGAAAACGGGAUUUUUAUCUCAAUUGACGGUAACAGAGGAAUAAGCACCGGCUAACUCCGUGCCAGCAGCCGCGGUAAUACGGAGGGUGCGAGCGUUAUCCGGGUUUACUGGGUUUAAAGGGUGCGUAGGCGGGCAGGUAAGUCAGUGGUGAAAUCCUAGAGCUUAACUCUAGAACUGCCAUUGAUACUAUCUGUCUUGAAUAUUGUGGAGGUAAGCGGAAUAUGUCAUGUAGCGGUGAAAUGCUUAGAUAUGACAUAGAACACCGAUUGCGAAGGCAGCUUACUACGCAUAUAUUGACGCUGAGGCACGAAAGCGUGGGGAUCAAACA
rnacentral:rRNA from 1 species